CCUACGGGUGGCAGCAGUGGGGAAUAUUGCACAAUGGGGGAAACCCUGAUGCAGCGACGCCGCGUGAGUGAAGAAGUAUUUCGGUACGUAAAGCUCUAUCAGCAGGGAAGAAAAUGACGGUACCUGACUAAGAAGCCCCGGCUAACUACGUGCCAGCAGCCGCGGUAAUACGUAGGGGGCAAGCGUUAUCCGGAUUUACUGGGUGUAAAGGGAGCGUAGACGGCAGCGCAAGUCUGGAGUGAAAUCCCAUGGCUUAACCAUGGAACUGCUUUGGAAACUGUGCAGCUAGAGUGCAGGAGAGGUAAGCGGAAUUCCUAGUGUAGCGGAGAAAUGCGUAGAUAUUAGGAGGAACACCAGUGGCGAAGGAGGCUUACUGGACUGUAACUGACGUUGAGGCUCGAAAGCGUGGGGAGCAAACAGGAUUAGAUACCCGAGUAGUC
rnacentral:rRNA from 1 species